AGUAUAAGUUUUAAUCGAACAAAAGGAAGAUCAAAUAAGUAUAAUAAGUUUUAAAAUCUAAAUAUGGUCUACUCAAACCUGUGUGAGGUUCAUAUUGAGCUCAUGUAUCCUUGAGUUGCAGUGAACCUCAAUGAGUGUCAUGGCUCCUAAAGUAUCUCGUGGAGGAUUACCACAAAUGAAAUCUUCAAUCACUUUUUCAAC
rnacentral:lncRNA from 1 species